rnacentral:rRNA from 1 species
AUUGGAGUCUGCAACCCGACUCCAUGAAGCUGGAUUCGCUAGUAAUCGCGCAUCAGCCACGGCGCGGUGAAUACGUUCCCGGGCCUUGUACACACCGCCCGUCAAGCCAUGGAAGCCGGGAGUGCCUGAAGUACGCGACCGCAAGGAGCGUCCUAAGGUAAAACCGGUGACUGGGGCUAAGUCGUAACAAGGUAUC